AUAAUAAUAAAAACAUAUCUAAAGCCUAUUUUGAACAUCAAAACUCAAGUCACUGGUAUUUUCAAAAAACACCAACUCUGUGCUCCUCUCUAAAACAAAACCCUCACUCCAUGACACAACUCCCCCUCCCACUCGUUUUCUCUUAAAUCCGGUCAUCGGAGAUUCUCCGAUCGGCGACCGGUGGCGGGUUCGUUCACGGCGGUAUUUCUGGCGACGUGUGUUUCCGACGGUGGUGGCGAGGUGGGUGGCGUCGGGUUGUUUUGAGCAGAAUAGGGAAUCAGGCGGCAGCGAGUGACGUACCGGAGAGGUUAUGUUGAUGAUGAUGACAAUGAGUGACGAAGUUGAUGGUGGUGGAACAGGGCCGCCGCAGGCGGUGUUAGGGACGACCGGUAGUGGCGGCAAUGACGGUGGUGUUCUGGUGCUCGAUUCAGGUACGGGUCGGGUUUUGGUUUGGGUUUGCUUUGUCUCGGGUUCACGAGGGUUCAGUUUUGGGUUCGGGUGCUCGGAUCAGUUCACGACACGGUCGGCUUAAGUGAACUCAGCUUCGGGUUGAUUUGGUCCAAUCUAGUCUCGGUUUGGUUAUGGUUCUAGCUUGGUUCAGGUUUCGUGGAAAGGCUCGGAUUCACUCCGGUCAGUUUCGGGUCUCGGUCAAAGGCAGUCAACAAGUCAUCGGUUCUGGUCAAACUCAGUCAAACUUAGUCAAAGGCUGGUCAACGCAAGACCCGGUCAACUCAGACCUGGUAAAGUUUUACAACACGAAAGUUAGAUUAGGUUGAUAUAGAAUUUAAAAUUUUAGUAGUUUGCGCGACCGAGCUCGACCCGUUUCGAUUUGGUACUAGUUUAUAUUUAUUAUACUCAGACAAAAUUUUAUAUAGAUUUCUUAUAUUAUUGAA